AGAGUUUGACCCUGGCUCAGGAUGAACGCUAGCGGAACGCCUAACACAUGCAAGUCGAACGGAUUCUGCGUUGUAGCAAUACAUAGUAGAAUUAGUGGCAAACGAGCGAGUAACGCGUGCCUAACCUGCCCUUAAGAUGGGAACAACUACGGAGACGUAGCUAAAUCCCAAUAUGCUCACGAUGGUGAAAUGCCGAUGCGAGGAAAGAUUUAUCGCUUAAGGAGGGGGGCGCGUCCUAUCAGGUAGUUGGUUGAGGUAACGGCUCACCAAGCCUAUGACAGGUAGCUGGUCUGAGAUGAUGUCCAGCCGCGAUGGGACUGAGAUACGGCCCAUACUCCUACGGGAGGCAGCAGUGGGGAAUCUUGCACAAUGGACGAAAGUCUGAUGCAGCGAUCCCGCGUGAAGGAUGAAGCAUUACGGUGUGUAAACUUCUUUUUUGGUGGAAGACGAAUGACGGUACACCAAGAAUAAGAGACGGCUAACUACGUGCCAGCAGCCGCGGUAAUACGUAGGUCUCAAGCGUUAUCCGGAUUUACUGGGCGUAAAGUAUCCGUAGCCUGAUAUGUAAGUCUGUUUUCAAAUCCCACGACUCAAUCGUGGAAAGGGAAUGGAUACUGCAUAUCUAGAAGUUAUUGGGGGUUAGUGGAAUUUCCGGUGGAGCGGUGAAAUGCGUUGAUAUCGGAAAGAACGCCGAAAGCGAAAGCAGCUAACUAUGAUUAACUUGACGGUGAGGGAUGAAAGUUUGGGUAGCAAACGGGAUUAGAUACCCCGGUAGUCCAAACUGUAAAUUAUGCUUGCUAGGUGUUUCGAUCCUUGUGGUCGGAGUGCCGUAAUCUAACGAGUUAAGCAAGUCGCCUGGGUAGUAUAUUCGCAAGAAUGAAACUCAAAGGGAUAGGCGGGGGAACACACAA
rnacentral:rRNA from 1 species